rnacentral:rRNA from 1 species
UACGUAGGGGGCGAGCGUUGUCCGGAAUCAUUGGGCGUAAAGAGCGUGUAGGCGGCUUGGCAAGUCUGACGUGAAAUCCCGCGGCUCAACCGCGGUAGGUCGUUGGAAACUGCCUCGCUAGACUCCGGAAGAGGAGAGCGGAAUUCCUGGUGUAGCGGUGGAAUGCGCAGAUAUCAGGAAGAACACCCGUGGCGAAGGCGGCUCUCUGGGACGGUACUGACGCUGAGACGCGAAAGCGUGGGGAGCGAACAGG